CAGAAUCAACGCUGGCGGCGUGCCUAACACAUGCAAGUCGAACGCGAGAGGGGCUUCGGCCCCAAUUGAGUGGCAAACGGGUGAGUAACGCGUGGGUGACCUACCUUCGAGUGGGGGAUAACGUUCCGAAAGGGACGCUAAUACCGCAUGACAUCCUUGUUUUUUGACAGGCGGAGAUCAAAGCCGGGGAUCGCAAGACCUGGCGC
rnacentral:rRNA from 1 species